CACGUAGGGUGCGAGCGUUGUCCGGAAUUAUUGGGCGUAAAGAGCUCGUAGGCGGUGUGUCGCGUCGGCCGUGAAAACCUGCAGCUUAACUGUGGGCUUGCGGUCGAUACGGGCAUCACUGGAGUUCGGCAGGGGAGACUGGAAUUCCUGGUGUAGCGGUGAAAUGCGCAGAUAUCAGGAGGAACACCGGUGGCGAAGGCGGGUUUCUGGGCCGAUACUGACGCUGAGGAGCGAAAGCGUGGGGAGCGAACAGG
rnacentral:rRNA from 1 species